UCAGCUCAGUUUCCACACAAGAGGGAACACGGCAGAAAUAUAUCCCAUUAUAGUCUAAAAUGUAUCAUUUUUGUUUUCAGAAGGAAAAAAAAAAGUUAAUCAACUUUGCCAAGCUGGUACAGUAAAUCAACACUCCCUACUAAACCUUGAAUCACCAUCUUAAAGGCACUUUUAAACAGUCUGUGCCAAAAGGACUAAGGACACAUUUCUAUUUAUAUACACAACCCCAGAUUUAGUGAUUUUUAAAGACAAAAGUAGAGCAAAUUCCUGCCACAAGCUUUUCCUAUGGUGCCACAGGUGAAGCCAGACAGAUGAAAGAAAGAGAGCCAUAUGCUUACAGAAAACAGGACUUUAAUUCUCUCUCUGAAGUUAUGGACAAAGGAUCUGUUGCUACCAGAAAACCACGUUAUCUGGACCAGUACAAGCUUCACAUGAGUGGAAAAUUACAGCUACGCAUGGAUCGUACCACUUUUGCCAAGGACAUGGUUGAAAAGCUACACAGCUCUGCAUCAACGUUAGAGGGAUUAUGACAAAAAGUCCUACACAAGCUUACUUGUAAGAAAACAAUUUUGCUGAUUUCCACAUUAUUGAAAUAAGUGCGCCAUUGUACUCAAAGUACGAGAUUACAAGAGUACGAGACCUGCUGCUAUCUUUCUCAAGUUAUAACUUUAACCUGCAUUCAUCAGAGCCUGCUGGAUUGUCAACAGAAGUAAGCCUGUGGUUUAGAUGUAGGGCUUCCUUGGGUGUGUGUGUGUGUGUGUUCUUCACUCACUCCAGACUUCCAUGUGGCUGCAUCUAUCUGCAAUCUGUAAUGCUCGGAUUUCCCAUGACAUGUGGCACAGUCAUGUGACUUUCCUGCAUCACUGUCCCCCAGUGCAAAAUGUAAACUUCCAUGAUGGUUACGUUUACAAAGUGCUUAAACUAGCCAAUUUCAAUUCUCUCUUUGGUAUUGACAUCCCAUGGACAAACAUUAAACGAUACCCAUUUUGAAA